rnacentral:rRNA from 1 species
UGUUGCCUACGGGAGGCAGCAGUGAGGAAUAUUGGUCAAUGGGCGAGAGCCUGAACCAGCCAAGUCGCGUGAGGGAAGACUGCCCUACGGGUUGUAAACCUCUUUUGUCAGGGAGCAAGAACGGAUACGUGUAUCCGAGCGAGAGUACCUGAAGAAAAAGCAUCGGCUAACUCCGUGCCAGCAGCCGCGGUAAUACGGAGGAUGCGAGCGUUAUCCGGAUUUAUUGGGUUUAAAGGGUGCGUAGGCGGUCUGCCAAGUCAGCUGUAAAAAUUCGGGGCUCAACCCAG